UAAGGAAUAUUGGUCAAUGGGCGCAAGCCUGAACCAGCCAUGCCGCGUGCAGGAAGACGGCUCUAUGGGUUGUAAACUGCUUUUAUCAGGGAAUAAACCCCCGCUCGUGAGCGGGGCUGAAGGUACCUGAAGAAUAAGCAUCGGCUAACUCCGUGCCAGCAGCCGCGGUAAUACGGAGGAUGCAAGCGUUAUCCGGAUUCAUUGGGUUUAAAGGGUGCGCAGGCGGAUUGGUAAGUCAGGGGUGAAAUCCCACAGCUCAACUGUGGAACUGCCUUUGAUACUGUCAGUCUAGAGUAUAGUUGAAGUGGGCGGAAUGUGUCAUGUAGCGGUGAAAUGCUUAGAUAUGACACAGAACACCGAUCGCGAAGGCAGCUCGCUAAGCUAUAACUGACGCUCAUGCACGAAAGCGUGGGGAUCAAACAGG
rnacentral:rRNA from 1 species